rnacentral:rRNA from 1 species
GCACAAGCGGUGAGUAUGUGGUUUAAUUCGACGCAACGCGCAGAACCUUUACCUAGACUUGACAUCCCGGGGAUUUUCUGGAAACAGAGAAGUGCUUUAGCAAUAAAGAACCCGGUGACAGGUGCUGCAUGGCUGUCGUCAGCUCGUGUCGUGAGAUGUUGGGUUAAGUCCCGCAACGAGCGCAACCCUCGCCUUUAGUUGCCAGCAUUCAGUUGGGCACUCUAGAGGGACUGCCGGUGUCAAACCGGAGGAAGUGGGGAUGACGUCAAGUCCUCAUGGCCUUUAUGUCUAGGGCUACACACGUACUACAAUGGCCGGUACAAAGGGCAGCCACUCAGCGAUGAGGCGCUAAUCCCAUAAAGCCGGUCUCAGUCCGGAUCGCAGUCUGCAACUCGACUGCGUGAAGUUGGAAUCGCUAGUAAUCGCGGAUCAGCACGCCGCGGUGAAUACGUUCCCGGGCCUU